AAAGUGAGAGAUGGCAUACAUAGGAGAGCCUAGAGAGUUGGGCUAGUAGAUUAGGAUGGAUUGGGAGAAGAGGAGAGUGGAUUUCGAUCAAAAACAGAUGGGAGGAGCAAAGAGAGAGUUUUGGAAACAGAUAGAAACUUAGUGGGUGUGAGAGGGAAACUUAGUUUGGUCUUGUCUCUGUGUAAGGUUCCGAGGAGGUCGUUGGUGAUCCACAAGAGUAGGCAACGGAGCUAGAGCUCGGGUUUGCGCUGCGCAAUUCGAGGUGUUUUCUCGAAGUGUUUUGGAAAUCUUAUAAUGCAAAUUAGAACCUUCUUGCUUUGUUUGUAAAUAGAGAUUGAAUAAAGAAUAGACGUUAUGAGGAGUAACGCUAUUCUUGUUUUGGUUUGUUUGCUGUUUGUUUGUAAAUACUUUAAACCUGUGUGCUUUUAGCACCCUUUUUA